CAGAGCGUAGCUAAGAAGAAAAGUAUCUCCCUUACACUGAGAAGUCAUCUGUGCGAAUCAGAUCGCCCUGA
rnacentral:tRNA from 1 species